rnacentral:rRNA from 1 species
UACGUAGGGAGCGAGCGUUGUCCGGAAUUACUGGGUGUAAAGGGAGCGUAGACGGUAAUGUAAGUCUGGAGUGAAAGGCGGGGGCCCAACCCCCGGACUGCUCUGGAAACUAUGUUACUAGAGUGCAGGAGAGGUAAGCGGAAUUCCUAGUGUAGCGGUGAAAUGCGUAGAUAUUAGGAGGAACACCAGUGGCGAAGGCGGCUUACUGGACUGUAACUGACGUUGAGGCUCGAAAGCGUGGGUAGCAAACAGG